GCCCGCAGGGCGCUGGGCGUCCUCCUCUGGCAGCUCCAGGCGGUGCCGGGGCGCCGCGGCGGCGAACCCGGGCUGGGAGCGGCUGCCGCCGAGCUUAAGUGUCCGCUCGCGCCCGACUGCUUUUCAGUGUGGACCCGGAAUCCUCAAAAGAAGGGAGUGGUGAAGAGGGGAAGGUGGCGAUGAGGGUUUAUUUUUUCUUUUCCCCAAUGUGGGAAGAAAUGAAAGACGUUCGUUGCACUUGCUCAGCAAACAAGCACAUGACCCAAAUCUUUAUUCGGGCUUCGUAGCAGUCAUCAAGCUGAAUGUUUCCCCUCCAGUGAAAGCAAGCGGGAGUGACAGGAGGAGGGACUUGGAAAAAGAUCGAGGAGCGGAAGGAGAGGUGUCAGCAUCUUCUCUCCUGCUUACGACCGUUGCGAUACGUCAUCACUGACCUGGAGAAAUUCACCCCAGCCGAGAGUACAGGGCAGAGUUCCCGAUGUCACUGGGCACCCAGCCCUAAGGAGCUCUGUGAUUCAUCGCAGAUCCGGAAGGAUGGCUAAAAUCCACAGUCGUAGUACAGUAGUUGCUGAAGUGCUCAAAUUGGACUUAUGUCUGGUCACAGGAAAUAAGUGACCGUGGUGCUCAAUAGUUUGCAUAAGAUGAUUCAGCUCCAAAAAAACACUGCUAACAUUCGGGAUAUCUGUGUUUUGGCUCACGUAGACCAUGGAAAAACUACUUUGGCUGACUGUCUUAUAUCUAGCAAUGGAAUAUUCUCCAGCCGCCUGGCAGGCAAGUUGAGGUACAUGGACAGCAGAGAAGACAAACAGGUCCGAGGGAUCACUAUGAAAUCCAGUGCCAUCUCCCGGCAUUAUGCGGAAGAAUUGAGCACUUUGCCAAAAUCUACAGUCAAAAAACUGGCAUCAGAAAGGAAGUUCUUUUGGAAGCAUUGUGGGGAGAUUAUUAUAUAAAUAUGAAGGCUAAGAAGAUUGUGAAGGUAGAUCAGGUUUUUGUAAAGCUUGAUGCUGCAGUUUUGGGCACUGAUUAGACUAUUAUUACCCAGAGAAGGCAAUGGCACCCCACUCCAGUACUCUUCCUGGAAAAAUCCCAUGGACAUAGGAGCCUGGUAGGCUGAGUCCGUGGGGUCGCUAAGACUCCAACACUACUGAGCGACUUCACUUUCACUUUUCACUUGCAUGCAUUGGAGAAGGAAAUAGCAACCCGCUCGACUGUACUUCCCUGGAGAAUCGGAGGGACGGUGGAGCUUGGUGGCCUGCCAUCUAUGGAGUGGCACAGGGUCGGACAUGACUUAAGCGGCUUAGCAGCAGCAGCAGCUAACUAAUACCAAAGAGAAAUUGGGGUCAAUCAGAUUUUUAACACUUGUUUGUGUCUCACAUUUCUGCCAUGAUAGGAACAUGAUAUGUUCCUUAUCCUAAAGUCCAUAUUUUCAUAUGGAAAUUACGUAGAUAAUUUUUAACCUUCAUAAGCAUGUACAUUUAUUAUGAAGGUUUUUUUUAUUCUACUGUGCUCUCCAAAUUUUAUGUUUUAUGUUUCCGAUUCCUUCGCUAAACUCACUUCGGAAAUGUUAAAAUGUUUAUUUGUACUUCCUUUUUAAAAAAGUAU